AUUCUAUUGGCUGUCGGCACCAGUUUUGUCAGUUGAUUGGAGAAGUGCAUGUCCAUCAUAGUCCACACCGAGAGCAUCGAGAGACAAAACUCCGGCAAGACAAUGUUCCUCCGGAGAGCGGCCGGCUAGGAUUCUCCGGGACAACGAGGGAAGGCGCUGGGCGGGGCUUGUCUGUUCCGCGGGACGCCGGGAAAGGGUUACUUCCAGGGAACGUUCUGCUUCCGGGGUCGGCCGCGGUCUCCGGGGCGGGAGUAGAGUUGGGGCGGGCGGUCUUCGCCGCCAGCGAGGUGUGCGUCUCCGCCUCUGGGGCCGGCGGCCGCCGUACACGUGGGGACUAAGGACCAAGCCGCGCGGUUGCAUCUCCAGGAUUUUUAUUUGUCUCAACAGUGUGUACCGUGUACUAGCCUGUGUGACCUCUGGGUUUCGGCCCGCGCGGCCUUCCCGCCCUUGUUGGCCCACACGCGGGGCUCGGGAAAGGUUUGGUGCACAGAGAACUGCAGGUAAUGGACUGGCGGGUUGGUGCGCAGUCUCAGCGCUCGGAGGCUGAGGCGGGAGGAUCGCGUGGACUGGGAAGUUCUAGACCAGCCUGGACGAUGUAAGGAGAACUUGCCUCGAAAAGAGACAGAAGUAAAUGGUAGUACCGCUUAGCGUUAUCACGGAAUCUCCGGGGAGAUUGGGCGCACGAAGUUUGUCGUUAGCAUGAGAAAUGAGUAGCAGGUAGAAAGCCCCCUUAUUUGCUCUCCUCGCCAUUGUACCGAUUAUCCCACGAGAUCUAGUCACUCGCUGGAACAGUGCUUAGGAGCCGCGAGGUGUUGAAAAGGGUGAAUCCGAAGAGAAGGACUCCGGGGAGCGUUAUCCGAUCUGUAGUCUUGGCUCCGCGCGGGGUUGGUGGUACCCUAGAGCACACCAGACUUGCAGAGAUAGCGUACUCCGGAGGAAGCUGAGGCAUGCCUGCUCGAGAGCCAGCGGGUCCAUGUGCAAUGUUCCUCUGAUAGUUUCCAGUACUGUUGCCACGGUGAUAAUGGCUGUGCUGUGUCAUUAUCGAUCCACCAACAGUAAGAGAAGCUUUGCAGUCAAGAUAUUGUUUAGCAGACAUAGUGAUCUGUUGGACACUAAGUACUGCUACAAACUACUUUUUUUUUUCACUGAGUUGUUUAAAAAUGCUAGGGGCUGGCAGUAUAGCUCAGCAGCACAGCGCCUGCCUGGCAAGGGCAAGGUCCUGAGUUCGAUUCCCGGUACCAAAAAAAUAAAAAUAAAAAACACCACAAGGAGCUGUACAUGGUGGUACAUACCUGUAGUCCCAGUAGUCUGGGAGGCUGAGCUGAAAGAAUCAAAAAUAUGAGUCUGGCCUGGGCAUUUUAGCAAGCCUGUGGCCCAAAAUAAAGAAGAAUGGCUGUGUGUGUCACCCAGUGCAGAGGCCUUUGGCCUGCGAAAUAGACCCACCCUGUCACCCACAAGCUCUUCAUUGUCCUCUUUUCACCCCACCUCUGUUUUUGAUGCCAGCUGAUUUUCUACCAGGGGACCCACAGUCAGAAUCUUUUUGUCUUGCAGACCCAUUGAUGCCAGGUAAAUCAGCAUCCCACGACGUAGCAUUCCGGGAUAGACACAUGCAGGGAGGAUGCUACUGCGCAGAAGCAGCUGUGGUCUCGGAAGCCACUGAUGGAGGUGAUGCCCUGCUUGUAACGAUGGAGAAUGUACUAAAUUCCUUCCAGAAGCAUCUGUUUACUCACGCUUACAUUGGACCAGGGAGAGAGAAUUCACAAACUUCUGAGGACCAGAGAUAAAAGAGUUGUCGUAGAGCGUAUCAUGUUCCUAACCCAUUGUGUAAUACUGGCUUCCCAAGUACUGUUGGCCUAUUUAGUUGUCACAUGUUUUAUUAAGUUGAGAAUACAGCUGGCUUGAAAAACUAAAAGUAAUCCUUGAGCAAGAAGAGUACAAAGCCUGUUUUUCAAAAUAAGAGUGGGACCACUCUGAGUUUCAUAGAAUAGGAGAGUAUAGAGAUGGGAAGGGGUGCGGGAGCUCUUUUGCAGAGCCGCAGGGGAUGGCUUUAGGUAGCACCAAGGCAGGAAAGCAGUUCAAGUAUCUCCGAAAUGGCAUGUCUAACUUUUUAGAGGGCCUCAGAUGUAGCUGACUGGUUGAGUGCUUGUCUGGCAAGCUCAGGCCCCAAGCAAAUUCUGGCUUUGAUAAAAUACUGUUCCUGGAGAGCAGUGAUCUUACGCUGCAAAGAAAACAGCAUUCAAAGUGUUUUUUCCAAGGCAUUAAACUUUGACAUGUAAUUCAA